rnacentral:misc_RNA from 1 species
CCGAGUUUACCAACUCCCAAAACCCCCGUGAACCUGUACCUGCAAACGUUGCCUCGGCGGCCGCGCGCGCGGCCGCCGGGGGACCCAAACCUCUGUAUAACUCUCCCGUCAGGGCACGUCUGAGUGGCAGUCGCGUGGACAGCGCGGAAUGAAUCA